rnacentral:rRNA from 1 species
CAUCGACAUUUCGAACGCACAUUGCGGUCCGUGGAGAAACAUCCAGGACCACUCCUGUCUGAGGGUCG